rnacentral:misc_RNA from 1 species
UGAUACCAAAGCUAACAGAAUACCACUUAAAUCCUGAUAAAUUAAACAAGAUGAAAGUUAAAUUUGCAUCUCAGGUGUUUAGUCGCAAUAUGGGAUAUCUAGCAGAUAAAGGAAUUCUACCCAUGGAAUGCAAGGAAACUGCAGAUCUGCUGUUAUUUAUGGACAACGUCUUUGACUCCGUCAAUGGAAGUCAUACUAAAAAUAAA